UCACCAGGCCCAGCUCAUGCUUCUUUGCAGC
rnacentral:piRNA from 1 species